rnacentral:rRNA from 1 species
GAUGAACGCUGGCGGCGUGCCUAAUACAUGCAAGUCGAGCGAACAGAUGAGGAUCUUUGUCCUCUGAGUUUAUAGCCGGACGGGGGAGUAACACGUGGUUAACAUACCUAUAAGACUGGGGUAACUUUGCGAAACAGGAGCUAAUACCGGAUAAUAUAUUGAACUUCGUGGGUCAAUAGUGAAAAAGGCUUUUUCGUUGACUUAUAGAUGGAUCCGCGCCGCAUUAGCUAGUUGGUAAGGGAACGGCUUACCAAGGCAACGACGCGUAGCCGACCUGAGAGGGUGAUCGGCCACACUGGAACUGAGACACGGCCCAGACUCCGACGGGAGGCAGCAGUAGGGAAUCUUCCGCAAUGGGCGAAAGCCUGACGGAGCAACGCCGCGUGAGUGAUGAAGGUCUUCGGAUCGUAAAACUCUGUUAUUAGGGAAGAACAAAUGCGUAAGUACCUGUGCACGUCUUGACGGUACCUAAUCAGAAAGCCACGGCUAACUACGUG